GCGCCCGUAGCUCAGCGGACAGAGCAGUGGUCUUCGAAACCAAAGGCCGUGGGUUCGAAUCCCUCCGGGCGCG
rnacentral:tRNA from 1 species